CCCAGACAGCCAGGAUGUUGGCUUAGAAGCAGCCAUCAUUUAAAGAAAGCGUAAUAGCUCACUGGUCGAGUCGGCCUGCGCGGAAGAUGUAACGGGGCUAAACCAUGCACCGAAGCUGCGGCAGCGAACGUAUCACCCAAGACAACUUUACGGAGUUGACGAUUGACGGAGCGAAGCGACGUCAAAGCGUUCAUUAAAGUCGAGUUGGCUUAGGGAUACGUUCGUUGGGUAGGGGAGCGUUCUGUAAGCCUGUGAAGGUGGCCUGUGAGGGUUGCUGGAGGUAUCAGAAGUGCGAAUGCUGACAUAAGUAACGAUAAAGCGGGUGAAAAGCCCGCUCGCCGGAAGACCAAGGGUUCCUGUCCAACGUUAAUCGGGGCAGG
rnacentral:rRNA from 4 species